CCUACGGGCGGCAGCAGUGAGGAAUAUUGGUCAAUGGACGAGAGUCUGAACCAACCAAGUAGCGUGAAGGAUGACUGCCCUAUGGGUUGUAAACUUCUUUUAUAAAGGAAUAAAACGAGGUACGUGUGCCUUUUUGCAUGUACUUUAUGAAUAAGGAUCGGCUAACUCCGUGCCAGCAGCCGCGGUAAUACGGAGGAUCCGAGCGUUAUCCGGAUUUAUUGGGUUUAAAGGGAGCGUAGAUGGGUUGUUAAGUCAGUUGUGAAAGUUUGCGGCUCAACCGUAAAAUUGCAAUUGAUACUGGCAGUCUAGAGUACAGUAGAGGUAGGCGGAAUUCGUGGUGUAGCGGUGAAAUGCUUAGAUAUCACGAAGAACCCCGAUUGCGAAGGCAGCUUACUAAACUGUGACUGACAUUGAUGCUCGAAAGUGUGGGUAUCAAACAGGAUUAGAUACCCUAGUAGUC
rnacentral:rRNA from 1 species